rnacentral:rRNA from 1 species
AGAGUUUGAUCAUGGCUCAGAUUGAACGCUGGCGGCAUGCCUUACACAUGCAAGUCGAACGGCAGCACGGGUACUUGUACCUGGUGGCGAGUGGCGAACGGGUGAGUAAUACAUCGGAACGUACCUUAUCGUGGGGGAUAACGCAGCGAAAGCUGUGCUAAUACCGCAUACGAUCUCAGGAUGAAAGCAGGGGACCGCAAGGCCUUGUGCUCCUGGAGCGGCCGAUAUCUGAUUAGCUAGUUGGUGGGGUAAAGGCCCACCAAGGCAACGAUCAGUAGCUGGUCUGAGAGGACGACCAGCCACACUGGAACUGAGACACGGUCCAGACUCCUACGGGAGGCAGCAGUGGGGAAUUUUGGACAAUGGGGGCAACCCUGAUCCAGCAAUGCCGCGUGAGUGAAGAAGGCCUUCGGGUUGUAAAGCUCUUUUGUCAGGGAAGAAACACCGGCUCUAACACAGUCCGGGAAUGACGGUACCUGAAGAAUAAGCACCGGCUAACUACGUGCCAGCAGCCGCGGUAAUACGUAGGGUGCAAGCGUUAAUCGGAAUUACUGGGCGUAAAGCGUGCGCAGGCGGUUAUACAAGACAGGCGUGAAAUCCCCGGGCUUAACCUGGGAAUGGCGCCUGUGACUGUAUAGCUAGAGUGUGUCAGAGGGGGGUAGAAUUCCACGUGUAGCAGUGAAAUGCGUAGAUAUGUGGAGGAAUACCAAUGGCGAAGGCAGCCCCCUGGGAUAACACUGACGCUCAUGCACGAAAGCGUGGGGAGCAAACAGGAUUAGAUACCCUGGUAGUCCACGCCCUAAACGAUGCUGACUAGUUGUUCGGGAUUUUCAUCCUGAGUAACGUAGCUAACGCGUGAAGUCAGCCGCCUGGGGAGUACGGUCGCAAGAUUAAAACUCAAGGAAUUGACGGGGACCCGCACAA